rnacentral:tRNA from 1 species
GCAUCGGUAGUUCAGUGGUAAAAUACCCGGCCCGGGUUCGAUUCCCGGCCGAUGCA